rnacentral:rRNA from 1 species
AACAAAGCGAUACAAGGAUCCUAAACUUUUGACCAACUAAUAAGUGCAAAGAUACAUGUUUCGCUUAAUGGCCCAACAAGUCCUUCCCAGUACUUAAAUGCUAUCUUAAUGAGCUUUAAAUUAAUUUACCCGAGUUAAGCUACUCUACGGAUAACAGGCUUAAUUUCCGCAAUAUUAAAGGUCACAUUAUCACGAAAAAUGUACCUCGAUGUCGGCUUAUCAUCACUAAAAUAGGUAGCUUAAUUAUUGGUGGGAGUGCUCAUCCCGUAAAUUGGUUCGUGAGCUGGGUUCAAUACGAUGG